rnacentral:rRNA from 1 species
CUAUACUGCAGUCGAGCGAUGAUUGAAGAUAGCUUGCUAUUUUCGUGAAGAGCGGCGAACGGGUGAGUAACGCGUGGGAAAUCUGCCGAUUAGAGGGGGACAACGUUUGGAAACCAACGCUAAUACCGCAUAACAUUGAGAAUCACAUGAUUCUUAUUUGAAAGACGCAAUUGCUUCACUACUUGAUGAUCCCGCGUUGUAUUAGCUAGUUGGUAGUGUAAAGGACUACCACGGCGAUGAUACAUAGCCGACCUGAGAGGGUGAUCGGCCACACUGGGACUGAAAACGGCCCCAACUCCUACGGGAGGCAGCAGUAAGGAAUCUUCCGCAAUGGGGGCAACCCUGACCGAACAACGCCCCGUGAGUGAAAAAAGGUUUCCGAUCCUAAAACUCUGGUGGUAAAGAAAAACGUUAAACAUAGUGGAAUAUUACUUACUUGACGGUAUCUUACCAGAAAGGGACGGCUAACUACGUGCCAGCAGCCGCGGUAAUACGUAGGUCCCAAGCGUUGUCCGGAAUUAUUUGGGCGUAAAGCGAGCGGAGGUGGUUUCUUAAGUCUGAUGUAAAAGGCCCCGGCUCCACCCUUGGAGGGCCUUGGAAAUGGGAAAACUUAAGGGCAGAAAAGAAAAGGGAAAUUUC